GUGUCAGCCGCCGCGGUAAAACGUAGGUACCGAGCGUUAUCCGGAUUUACUGGGCGUAAAGCGUGUUCAGGCGGUCUGUCAAGUCGGGCAUGAAAGCUCUCGGCUCAACCGGGAGAGGCUGUCCGAUACUGGCAGACUUGAGGGCAGUAGAGGGUGGUGGAAUUCCGGGUGUAGUGGUGAAAUGCGUAGAUAUCCGGAGGAACACCAGUGGCGAAAGCGGCCACCUGGACUGCACCUGACGCUCAAACACGAAAGCUAGGGGAGCGAACGGGAUUAGAAACCCUAGUAGUCC
rnacentral:rRNA from 1 species